AAGAAGUGAAGAAGAUAGUUUUUUCAUUUGCUUCAACUACCAGAAUUUGCUCCAACUUCCAACCACUAGUACAGUAGGUUUGACAUUCCCUGCAACUCUGCAAUUGAAUUCAACAAAAUCAAUAACAUCUUCCCUAAUCAAAUAUUAUGCAACUAAUCAAUCAUGUUGGUGGUGUUGGCAGACUCUCCCAUUUCCAUAAUCAUCACACUCCUUCUCUUCUUCUUCCUCUUAAGAUUUGCUAUCAUUUUCCUCUUUCUGCUCCUGCUCUUCCUUCUCUGCACCCACCUUGUUCACCUCAUCUUCCACUGAUUCUCAUUCAAAAUGUUUUAAAGAUGGUGCUACCUUCCUUCACGUGUGAAGUGAGAGGCCCCCUAAAGCCUUACUGAAUGAAGGGAAGCUGAAAUAGUAUUGUACCUUAGUCUUCCUUGCGUAUGUUUUUUUUUCUUCUUUGCGUGUAGUGAGUUGAAAGAUGAUGCAUCUAAGGAUGGGGGCUAACUUGGUAUCCAAAAGGAGUGGAACAGUGACAUUAAUUAACCUCCAACGAAAGCUCACAUGUCAUUGUCCCCACCCCGAUCGAUGCAAUUAUGAACUCCAAUUCCAUUGUCACCUGACUCUUAUCUUUUGGCCACACAUGGCACUAUAUAUAUUCCUGCGUUGCAUGUAAGAACUUCCAAAAAAACUUGUUCUGGUUAUUACUAUUUGUUCCUCUCUGGGCAUGGGUAAAACAUGGAGAAGCUGUUCUUGGGGAGUGUGGAUGGGAGGGCUUGGAGUCGUGGUGCCUGUGAUGAGGAAACUACAAAACUCUUUCUCACGUUCAAAAGGGGUGAAGCAGGGCCAUUUUGUGGUGGUUGCAACUCAAGGGUGGAAGCCUGAGAGAUUCUUCAUUGAAUUGGGGUAUUUGGAUCACCCUGACUUUGUCAUGUUGUUAAAGCAAGCUGAAGAAGAGUUCGGGUUCUCUCAGGUGGGAGCACUUGCAAUCCCUUGUCAACCUGAUGAACUCAAGAGAAUCAUUGGAAGGGAAAAGAA